CUACGGGCUGCACCAGUGAGGAAUAUUGGACAAUGGGCGAAAGCCUGAUCCAGCCAUGCCGCGUGCAGGAUGACAGCCCUACGGGUCGUAAACUGCUUUUAUACAGGAAUAAACCCCCUUACGUGUAAGGGGCUGAAUGUACUGUAAGAAUAAGGAUCGGCUAACUCCGUGCCAGCAGCCGCGGUAAUACGGAGGAUCCAAGCGUUAUCCGGAUUCAUUGGGUUUAAAGGGUCCGCAGGCGGAUUAUUAAGUCAGUGGUGAAAUGCUGUCGCUUAACGAUAGCACUGCCAUUGAUACUGGUAAUCUUGAGUAUAGUUGAGGUGGGCGGAAUAAGUCAUGUAGCGGUGAAAUGCAUAGAUAUGACUUAGAACACCGAUUGCGAAGGCAGCUCACUAAGCUAUUACUGACGCUCAGGGACGAAAGCGUGGGGAGCGAACAGGAUUAGAUACCCCCGUAGUC
rnacentral:rRNA from 1 species